rnacentral:tRNA from 1 species
UCCCAGUGGCUCAGCUGGUAAAGAAUCUGCCUUCAGUGCAGGAGACCUGGGUUCGAUCCCUGGGUUGGGAA